rnacentral:rRNA from 1 species
ACUCGAGUGGCGAACGGGUGAGUAACACGUGGGUGAUCUGCCCUGCACUUCGGGAUAAGCUUGGGAAACUGGGUCUAAUACCGGAUAGGAGCCAUCUUUAGUGUGGUGGUUGGAAAGUUUUUCGGUGUAGGAUGAGCUCGCGGCCUAUCAGCUCGUUGGUGGGGUAAUGGCCUACCAAGGCGGCGACGGGUAGCCGGCCUGGGAGGGUGUACGGCCACAUUGGGACUGAGAUACGGCCCAG